rfam:Loxodonta africana unplaced genomic scaffold scaffold_21, whole genome shotgun sequence.
UUUUAUUCACUGUUCUAUAAAUAAAAUUGGAAUGAUACGAAGAAUAUUAGCAUGGCCCCUGCACAAGAAUGAUAAGCAAAUUAGUGUAGCAUUCCACAUUUGU